rnacentral:rRNA from 1 species
GCAAAGGUAGCAUAAUCACUUGCCCUUUAAUUGGGGGCUUGUAUGAAUGGACCCACCAUGCUAGACUGUCUCGGAGAUAACCCCAUAAAUUUCAAUCAAAAUGAAGAUGUUUUGACAAAAAAGAAGGACCAAAAGACCCUAUAGAGCUCUGUAUUUACUUACACUACCUAUGUAAAGACAAUACUUCGUUGGGGCGACGAACAUUAACCACUCUACUAACUCAAGGAAUCAAUCUCUCUUACACCCUAUUUAGAAAAAGAUAAAGCUACCUUAGGGAUAACAGGCUAAUUUUCUUCCAUAGUUCACAUUGCCAAGAAAGUUUGGCAC